AGUAAUGUAUGGGGAUCUGCCUGAUGGCGGGGGAUAACUACUGGAAACGGUAGCUAAUACCGCAUAACGUCGCAAGACCAAAGAGGGGACCUUAGGGCCUCUUGCCAUCGGAUGUGCCCAGAUGGGAUUAGCUAGUAGGUGGGGUAAUGGCUCACCUAGGCGACGAUCCCUAGCUGGUCUGAGAGGAUGAUCAGCCACACUGGGACUGAGACACGGCCCAG
rnacentral:rRNA from 1 species